rnacentral:rRNA from 1 species
GACGAACCGUGCGAACGUUGUUCGGAAUCACUGGGCUUAAAGGGCGCGUAGGCGGGCGGUCAAGUCUGUGGUGAAAUCCUUCGGCUCAACCGGAGAAUAGCUGGAGAUACUGGCCGUCUCGAGGGGGGUAGGGGCAUGUGGAACUUCCGGCGGAGCGGUGAAAUGCGUAGAUAUCGGAAGGAACGCCGGUGGCGAAAGCGACGUGCUGGACCCUUUCUGACGCUGAGGCGCGAAAGCCAGGGGAGCAAACGGG